rnacentral:rRNA from 1 species
AGAGUUUGAUCCUGGCUCAGAACGAACGCUGGCGGCGUGCCUAACACAUGCAAGUCGAGGGAGAAAACCCGCAAGGGCGAGUAAACCGGCGAACGGGUGCGUAACACGUGGAUAAUCUACCUUCCUGACUGGGAUAACUGGCCGAAAGGCUUGCUAAUACCAGAUAAGCCCACGGCGUCUUUGGACGCUGAGGGAAAAGG